CUGAACCCCCAUAAUGACUACUGUCAACACUGUUGUUAUAGGUUAACUGUCUGUCUGUCUGUAUCAGGGGACCCAGAGUCUGAACCCCCAUAAUGACUACUGUCAACACUGUUGUUAUAGGUUAACUGUCUGUCUGUCUGUAUCAGGGUACCCAGAGUCUGAACCCCCAUAAUGACUACUGUCAACACUGUUGUUAUAGGUUAACUGUCUGUCUGUCUGUAUCAGGGGACCCAGAGUCUGAACCCCCAUAAUGACUACUGUCAACACUGUUGUUAUAGGUUAACUGUCUGUCUGUCUGUAUCAGGGGACCCAGAGUCUGAACCCCCAUAAUGACUACUGUCAACACUGUUGUUAUAGGUUAACUGUCUGUCUGUCUGUAUCAGGGGACCCAGAGUCUGAACCCCCAUAAUGACUACUGUCAACACUGUUGUUAUAGGUUAACUGUCUGUCUGUCUGUAUCAGGGGACCCAGAGUCUGAACCCCCAUAAUGACUACUGUCAACACUGUUGUUAUAGGUUAACUGUCUGUCUGUCUGUAUCAGGGGACCCAGAGUCUGAACCCCCAUAAUGACUACUGUCAACACUGUUGUUAUAGGUUAACUGUCUGUCUGUCUGUAUCAGGGGACCCAGAGUCUGAACCCCCAUAAUGACUACUGUCAACACUGUUGUUAUAGGUUAACUGUCUGUCUGUCUGUAUCAGGGGACCCAGAGUCUGAACCCCCAUAAUGACUACUGUCAACACUGUUGUUAUAGGUUAACUGUCUGUCUGUCUGUAUCAGGGGACCCAGAGUCUGAACCCCCAUAAUGACUACUGUCAACACUGUUGUUAUAGGUUAACUGUCUGUCUGUCUGUAUCAGGGGACCCAGAGUCUGAACCCCCAUAAUGACUACUGUCAACACUGUUGUUAUAGGUUAACUGUCUGUCUGUCUGUAUCAGGGGACCCAGAGUCUGAACCCCCAUAAUGACUACUGUCAACACUGUUGUUAUAGGUUAACUGUCUGUCUGUCUGUAUCAGGGGACCCAGAGUCUGAACCCCCAUAAUGACUACUGUCAACACUGUUGUUAUAGGUUAACUGUCUGUCUGUCUGUAUCAGGGGACCCAGAGUCUGAACCCCCAUAAUGACUACUGUCAACACUGUUGUUAUAGGUUAACUGUCUGUCUGUCUGUAUCAGGGUACCCAGAGUCUGAACCCCCAUAAUGACUACUGUCAACACUGUUGUUAUAGGUUAACUGUCUGUCUGUCUGUAUCAGGGGACCCAGAGUCUGAACCCCCAUAAUGACUACUGUCAACACUGUUGUUAUAGGUUAACUGUCUGUCUGUCUGUAUCAGGGUACCCAGAGUCUGAACCCCCAUAAUGACUACUGUCAACACUGUUGUUAUAGGUUAACUGUCUGUCUGUCUGUAUCAGGGUACCCAGAGUCUGAACCCCCAUAAUGACUACUGUCAACACUGUUGUUAUAGGUUAACUGUCUGUCUGUCUGUAUCAGGGUACCCAGAGUCUGAACCCCCAUAAUGACUACUGUCAACACUGUUGUUAUAGGUUAACUGUCUGUCUGUCUGUCUGUAUCAGGGGACCCAGAGUCUGAACCCCCAUAAUGACUACUGUCAACACUGUUGUUAUAGGUUAACUGUCUGUCUGUCUGUAUCAGGGGACCCAGAGUCUGAACCCCCAUAAUGACUACUGUCAACACUGUUGUUAUAGGUUAACUGUCUGUCUGUCUGUAUCAGGGGACCCAGAGUCUGAACCCCCAUAAUGACUACUGUCAACACUGUUGUUAUAGGUUAACUGUCUGUCUGUCUGUAUCAGGGUACCCAGAGUCUGAACCCCCAUAAUGACUACUGUCAACACUGUUGUUAUAGGUUAACUGUCUGUCUGUCUGUAUCAGGGGACCCAGAGUCUGAACCCCCAUAAUGACUACUGUCAACACUGUUGUUAUAGGUUAACUGUCUGUCUGUCUGUA